CGAAAACUCUGAGCAUGCGCACUUUUACCGCCUGAAUUUUGAAAACAGUGAUAAAAGUUGCAGUGAAAUGUUGUAUCUCGAUUCAGAAUCCAGAACAAAGAAAAAGAAUCUUGUAUAAAAAUCCACAGAUCCAAUGUGUGAUCAUGUGUCUGAUGUUGUGGAAUGCACUGCAGUUACAAUACUUACAAUGUAAGCAUGUACAUGUACCAGAUCAAAAAGAUGGACCAAGAUAUAAAAAGAGACUGGAAACCAACACAAGACCAGCUGACGAGAGGGCAGAAAACCAAAACUUUGAAUGCCAUGUAUACAACCAACACAAGACUAGAAUUUGGAAUAAAAUUUUUAAAAAACAGAAACAUACUAUUAUUUUAUUAUU